CCAGGGCUACACACGUACUACAAUGGCAGGUACAAAGGGCAGCCACUUAGCGAUAAGGCGCGAAUCCCAUAAAACCUGUCUCAGUCCGGAUUGGAGUCUGCAACUCGACUCCAUGAAGUCGGAAUCGCUAGUAAUCGCGGAUCAGCACGCCGCGGUGAAUACGUUCCCGGGCCUU
rnacentral:rRNA from 1 species